UGCAGAACGAUUUUUAAUGUU
rnacentral:piRNA from 1 species